rnacentral:rRNA from 1 species
AUAGCGUAUAUUAAAUUUGUUGCAGUUAAAAAGCUCGUAGUUGGAUUUCUGGGAGGGUGCCAAUGUCCGCUCGUUCGCGUGUGCAGCGGCGCCCUUCCAUCCUUCUGUUAACGUUUCUGGUAUUCAGUUACUGGACUCGGGCUCAGAUAUUUUACCUUGAGAAAAUUAGAGUGUUCCAGGCAGGCUAGCGCCGGAAUACAUUAGCAUGGAAUAAUAGAAUAGGACUUUAGUCUCCUUUGUUGGUUUGAGGGACUGAAGUAAUGAUUAAUAGGGAUAGUUGGGGGCAUUAGUAUUUAAUUGUCAGAGGUGAAAUUCUCGGAUUUGUUAAAGACUAACUUAUG